rnacentral:rRNA from 1 species
UACGUAGGGCGCAAGCGUUAUCCGGAAUUAUUGGGCGUAAAGAGCUCGUAGGCGGUUUGUCGCGUCUGCCGUGAAAGUCCGGGGCUCAACUCCGGAUCUGCGGUGGGUACGGGCAGACUAGAGUGAUGUAGGGGAGACUGGAAUUCCUGGUGUAGCGGUGAAAUGCGCAGAUAUCAGGAGGAACACCGAGUGGCGAAGGGCAGGUCUCUGGGCAUUAACUGACGCUGAAGCACGGAAAGCGUGGGGGAGCAAACAGG